CCUGCCUCAAAAACAUCAGAGAUGAAUUUGGUCUGUUGUGAAAAGACUUUAAAAUGGAAUAACAGAGGUUCUUAUGUGCCUGGAUUACUUUUCUGAGAUCCAUUCCAAUGCUUUUUUUCCCCCGCUCUAUGACCAAGCUUUGUUCGCAUUGUUCUGUUAUCUUGUAGUAUUGUGUACUCCUUUUGAGAAAGAGCACAGCCAUGUCUUCAACUGUAAUGAUCCAAUUUUAUGUAUCUAGAUGUUUUAAAGAAUCUCUUAAUUGUUGGAAUUCUUAUUCAUUAUCUUUCCUGGAAUGCGGUGGGACAUUUUUAUUUGCAAUUUCUACUCUUCCUCAUUUUUUCAUAAAUCCGUUUGAGUCAUUUUUUUAUGUAAAAUCACUCUAGCAAACAAAAUACCAUGAAAGAAUUAUUUUCUGUAUUUUACAUUUAUUUUCCACUUUCAAAUUGCUUUUAUCUUGUAGCAUCGUCUGUAUUCACAUUAAUCAUCUCCAGUGUUUCUAUAAACCGUGUCAUCUAUGGUUUAUAGCUAUACCUGUUUUCUAAUUUGUUAUUUUCUGGUUGAACUUUGAAUGUAUUUAUGUAUUCCAGAUUAUCAUCCUUUGUUAUAUAUGUAGUGUGCAAAUAUUUUCUCUCUGUAACUUUUAAAAUAAUCCCUUUUCCAGAGUCUUUUGCUGAGCAUGAGAUUUAAUUUUGAUAAGGCUUAAUACCUCAGUUUUUUUCUUUUAUGAACGGUUUUAUGUUUAUUUUCAAUUGGAGGGUUUGAAUACUAUGGUACAGAUGAAA
rnacentral:lncRNA from 1 species